rnacentral:tRNA from 1 species
GCGAUGUCCGAGUGGUUAAGGAGUUGGACUUGAAAUCCAAUGGGCAUUGCCCGCGUAGGUUCGAACCCUGCUCGC